rnacentral:rRNA from 1 species
CGAAGCCUGACGGAGCAAUACCGCGUGAGGGAAGAAGGCUUUUGGGUUGUAAACCUCUUUUGUCAGGGAAGAAGAAUUGACGGUACCUGAAGAAAAAGCAUCGGCUAACUCCGUGCCAGCAGCCGCGGUAAUACGGAGGAUGCAAGCGUUAUCCGGAAUCAUUGGGCGUAAAGGGUCCGCAGGUGGCGAAUAAAGUCUGCUGUUAAAGACCGGGGCUAAACUCCGGAAAGGCAGUGGAAACUGAUUAGCUAGAGUACGGUAGGGGUAGAGGGAAUUCCCAGUGUAGCGGUGAAAUGCGUAGAUAUUGGGAAGAACACCGGUGGCGAAAGCGCUCUACUAGGCCGAAACUGACACUGAGGGACGAAAGCUAGGGUAGCGAAAGGGAUUAGAUACCCCUGUAGUCUUAGCUGUAAACGAUGGAUACUAGGCGUAGCUUGUAUCGACCCGAGCUGUGCCGAAGCUAACGCGAUAAGUAUCCCGCCUGGGGAGUACGCACGCAAGUGUGAAACUCAAAGGAAUUGACGGGGGCCCGCACAAGCGGUGGAGUAUGUGGUUUAAUUCAAUGCAACGCGAAGAACCUUACCAGGGCUUGACAUGUCGCGAAUCUGGCGGAAACGUUAGAGUGCCUUAGGGAACGCGAACACAGGUGGUGCAUGGCUGUCGUCAGCUCGUGUCGUGAGAUGUUGGGUUAAGUCCCGCAACGAGCGCAACCCUCGUCCUUAGUUGCCAAUAUUAAGUUAGGCACUCUAGGGAGACUGCCGGGGACAACUCGGAGGAAGGUGGGGAUGACGUCAAGUCAGCAUGCCCCUUACGUCCUGGGCGACACACGUACUACAAUGGUUGGGACAAAGGGCAGCAAGCUCGCGAGAGUAAGCGAAUCUCAUCAAACCCAGCCACAGUUCAGAUUGCAGGCUGCAACUCGCCUGCAUGAAGUAGGAAUCGCUAGUAAUCGCAGGUCAGCAUACUGCGGUGAAUUCGUUCCCGGGCCUUGUACACACCGCCCGUCACACCAUGGAAGCUGGCUACGCCCGAAGUCGUUACCCUAACCCGGUUUUGGGAGGGGGAUGCCGAAGGUAGAGCUAGUGACUGGGGUGAAGUCGUAACAAGGUAGCCGUACCGGAAGGUGUGGCUGGAUCACCUCCUUU